rnacentral:misc_RNA from 1 species
GAAAUGCGAUAAGUAAUGUGAAUUGCAGAAUUCAGUGAAUCAUCGAAUCUUUGAACGCACCUUGCGCUCCUUGGUAUUCCUUGGAGCAUGCCUGUUUGAGUAUCAUGAAAUCUUCAAAGUAAAUCUUUUGUUAACUCAAUUGGUUUCUACUUUGGUAUUGGAGGUCUUUGCAGCUUCACACCUGCUCCUCUUUGUUCAUUAGCUGGAUCUCAGUGUUAUGCUUGGUUCCACUCGGCGUGAUAAGUUAUCUAUCGCUGAGGACACUGUAAAAGGUGGCCAAGAUAAAUGCAGAUGAACCGCUUCUAAUAGUCCAUUGACUUGGACAAUACUUUUAUGAUCUGAUCUCAAAUCAGGUAGGACUACCCGCUGAACUUAAGC